rnacentral:rRNA from 1 species
GACGAACGCUGGCGGCGUGCUUAACACAUGCAAGUCGAACGGAAAGGCCCUGCUUUUGUGGGGUGCUCGAGUGGCGAACGGGUGAGUAACACGUGAGUAACCUGCCCUUGACUUUGGGAUAACUUCAGGAAACUGGGGCUAAUACCGGAUAGGAGCUCCUGCUGCAUGGUGGGGGUUGGAAAGUUUCGGCGGUUGGGGAUGGACUCGCGGCUUAUCAGCUUGUUGGUGGGGUAGUGGCUUACCAAGGCGUUGACGGGUAGCCGGCCUGAGCGGGUGACCGGCCACAUUGGGACUGAGGUACGGCCCAGACUCCUACGGGAGGCAGCAGUGGGGAAUAUUGCACAAUGGGCGGAAGCCUGAUGCAGCAACGCCGCGUGCGGGAUGACGGCCUUCGGGUUGUAAACCGCUUUCGCCUGUGACGAAGCGUGAGUGACGGUAAUGGGUAAAGAAGCACCGGCUAACUACGUG